rnacentral:rRNA from 1 species
AGCAGCCGCGGUAAUUCCAGCUCCAAUAGCGUAUAUUAAAGUUGUUGCAGUUAAAAAGCUCGUAGUUGAAUUUCGGGAUCAGUAUGUUGGUCGUGCUUAGGUACGUACUGUCAUUACUGGUUUCUCUCUUCUGAAGAACCUUGAUGUCAUUAAUUUGGUGUCUUGGGGAAUCAGGACUGUUACUUUGAAAAAAUUAGAGUGUUUAAAGCAGGCAUACGCUUGAAUACAUUAGCAUGGAAUAAUGAAAUAGGACGUUUGAUUCUAUUUUGUUGGUUUCUAGGAUCGACGUAAUGAUUAAUAGGGAUAGUUGGGGGCAUUAGUAUUCAAUUGUCAGAGGUGAAAUUCUUGGAUUUAUUGAAGACUAACUACUGCGAAAGCAUUUGCCAAGGAUGUUUUCAUUAAUCAAGAACGAAAGUUAGGGGAUCGAAGACGAUCAGAUACCGUCGUAGU